ACUGGGGGCAUUCGUAUUGCGACGUUAGAGGUGAAAUUCUUGGAUCGUCGCAAGACGAACAUCAGCGAAAGCAUUUGCCAAAGGUGUUUUCAUCAAUCAAGAACGAAAGUUAGAGGUUCGAAGGCGAUUAGAUACCGCCCUAGUUCUAACCGUAAAUAUGUCAUCUAGCGAUCCGCCGACGUUACUACAAUGGCUCGGUGGGCAGCUUCCGGGAAACCAAAGAUUUUGGACUCCGGGGGGAGUAUGGUUGCAAAGCUGAAACUUAAAGGAAUUGACGGAAGGGCACCACCAGGAGUGGAGCCUGCGGCUUAAUUUGACUCAACACGGGAAAUCUCACCAGGCCCGGGCACCGGAAGGAUUGACAGAUUAACAGCUCUUUCUUGAUUCGGUGGGUGGUGGUGCAUGGCCGUUCUUAGUUGGUGGAGCGAUUUGUCUGGUUAAUUCCGGUAACGAACGAGACUCUAGCCUGCUAAAUAGGCGUCGUCAUUUAGGUGUGCGCGGCUUCAGGGUCGCGCAACUCACUGGCGGCGUAUUAAAA